CGCCGGUUCAUACUCCUCAAUGCGCCGCCGUUCUAUCCUCCUCGAUACGCCGUCGUUCUGCUGUCGACGAGCGUAUUUGUCCAUCGCGGCUGCGGCUGCGGCGGCCGUCGGCACCCUCUUCCCAAAGAUGCCGACACAGAUGGGCAACGGAGGGAUGUUUUUUCAUCCUCCUCUGCGUGACAGUGUUGUCGCGAUGGCAAGAUGAUACGGGCGAUGAUGGGAUGGGGGUGACAGUGCGGCUCUUCUGCGUUGAUAUCAAGUUGUCCGAUGUGCUUGAUUAAUUAGGUCCGUGGUACCUAAAGUAAUCACAACAUGUGGAUAAAUGACCAUCCAACACUAUUGAUCUGCUGCUUAGACGUCAUGUCGUAUUCAGGAUUUGGAGCUACAACAUAUACACUAUUGGUUGAAAAUGGGUGACCAGAACACAAGCGGAUGGAGUGUAAGUUAUGAUUCAAGUGGAUGGAGAGAAAGUUAUGAUUCAGUUAUACCAUGAUUCAUUUGUAUCAUUGGUAUCCCCACCAUCGCUAGCUUCCGUCCUCAUCCCCAUUGUUCUGUACCAAGGAGAUCCUGCCUCCCGCUGCUCCUCUCCACUUCGUUGGGACUGUUCCAUAUGCCUCCACGACACCAGCUGCGAACCAGGUCCGCCGCGCGGCUAUGAGAACCUCCUCGACACGCGUCUGCUCCAGUUUUUGGCAUGACGGCCAGUUCGUCAGCCUGACUCUGCUCAUCGUCUCGCUCGUUCGUUGGCUUCCGAUCUGGAUGGUGUAUGCUGGCUCCCAAAAGCUCAUCAGUUUGUACCGGCUCCUUGUUUUUGGUCUGUUUGCUUUUCCCGAAUGUUAUUCGAUCUGACAAGAAAAAUAUAUACUUUUCUGCAGUGCAUAUGCUACCUCAGUUCAUUUGAUCUCCAUAUUCUUGACACCACGAACUGGAUUUACUUACCAUAGAAUACUUAACAUGGAAGAAGUAACACAAAUCUCCAAGCACAAUUUUGAGAAAACCAAUGUCAGGUAUUUCCCUACCGUAAGGUAUGAAGUAUGAAACCUCCCGGUUUUUUCUGAUAAUGAAUAAUUUUUAUUUCCUCUGUUUCAAGUGUUUGUUUCUAUUUCCUUGGCAAGAUAAGAAGCUAUGGUGCCUAUAUUCACUGAUAGGCUUGGCAACCUUUGUAUUGAAUGUAUGUGCCUCAGUUUCUUUCUACUUCUAUGAUGUUUAUCUUAUCUUUCCUUCUUUACAAUUUGAUUGGGGCCUUUUAUAGCUGCCACGGGGAUGAUCAGAGGUAGCAUUGUAGCGACAUAGAGCAUAGGUGGUUUAUAUCCUUAAGACAUCAAAGAGUUAGUUCAUCUUAGUAUUCACCAUGUGCUGGCAUUUGCAUUUCACUAUUGUUCAUUUUUCCACAGUGAAAAAGGAUUAGUGUCAUGUGGUCAUAUGAUGAUGUAGGCAAGCUCCAGCGAGAUCUCCAUGCAUCAUUUUACUGAUUUAGAAGGAGGCAAUCCCUUUAUAUGCCGACACGCUAGAUUGUUGGUACAAAAAUAAUCUUUUUUUAGAAAUGAGAUUCUUUUUAGGGAACAUAAACAUUAGGAUUGAUUUAUAGUCUGUAUAUUACAUUGUGCAGGAUAAAUUAUAUCUCCCU